rnacentral:lncRNA from 1 species
GUUGGGAUUAAUAUAUAAUAAUGUGAAUAUGGUUCUAAUUGUUUUUUUGAUUAAAUAUUUAUUUCAAAUAUUAGCUUGUUGUAAUAUUCUUCAGGAGUCCAAGCUCCUUCUGAUGUUCCCUGUUUCAUUCCACUUAUAACUCAGAGAAUUAAUUAGUUGCAAGAUUCAUAUUACAUUCGUAAAUCAAAUAUUUAUUAAAUAAUAUCACUUAAUAUGCAUGACUUUUCAUAUAUUAUAUAAUAGCUAAUAAAACAUUACUUUGAAUAGUGAAACAUACUCAUCUAUUGAAUUCAUUUAGAACAAAUGAGAAAACAUUGACACUUUUGUCUUUUGAUCGGUGUACAUAUAGAAUAACCGUUUUACAUGUAAUAUCGGAUAACUGCAAUCUCCUUUCAUUUUUCAUGAAUGAGACCUGCCGAUUUAGACUAUUUGCAGGUGUAGUUAUAAUAUAAGCAAAACGACGUGUGUCAUAUGUGGAGCAGGACCUGCUCACCCUUCCGGAGCACCUAAGAACUAUGUCCCUGUUCUAAAUUAGGUUUUGAAGAUACUGUAUUGGUCAAGGUUUUUGUUCUUUUGAUGUGUUUAUUUUUUUAAAAGUCAUAUAUUUAUUGUUGUUUUUUAUGCUAUUUGAUUUUUUUCAUUCUGGUUUAUGUUUUGGAAACGAAAUAACUCAGUGCAUGAAGUUUAAAAUCAAUAAAAUGUUAUUGACUGCAAGUUAGUAGCGGUGAUUCCAAAAAAGAAAACAUAAAACCAUGGAACCGUACAAUACUCAUUCUGCACUUAAUGUAAUGGUCUACGAUCGCUAAAAACACCUUCAAGCAAUAUUCUUUAAAGCAAAUAAACAGAAUCCAUAAAAUAUUGUAUAAAACUGGAGAAUAUGAGAUAUUAGAUUAAACAAGUAAAUGAAUCAAAGCGCUAGCAUCAUCAGGACAGAUCUGAUAACAGACGUUUUUGCAUCAUCAAUGUCAAUACAUACAUAUGCUUUCUAAAGUGGAUCAUAAAAUUGAGAACGGAAAUGGGAAAAGUGUCAAAGAGACAACAACCCGACCAAAGAAAAAAACAACAGCAGUAGGUCACCAACAGGUCUUCAAUGUAGCGAGAAAUUCCCGCACCCGGAGACAUCCAUACCUAUGGUGUCGUCUACAAUAAUAUAGGUUACAAUGAAACAAUGGAAAAAGUUCCGCAAAUAAAACUACAAUAAAGCAAUACUUAAUUACCUGUUUUUGAUAUUUAUUAUAUUAUUACUUGCAGUAGAAUGACUUGAUACAAAUAUCGCUCUAUUUACAUCGUCGGUUUUUCUUCACACCUCGUUCAUAUGUUAGACAAUGCUCAGUGUAUUAAAUAAAUCGUAUAUCGCAAUCCUCGCAACGCUUCAAUUUGUUUCAGAUUGAGGUCAUAUUAAACCAAAUUAUGUUAAAUAUUCAAAUGUGUGGAAAAUAAAAAUGAUUAUAGCGUUCAAUUACAACAAUAAACAGUUUAUUUAUAUAAUUUAAAGGUAGGGUGAAUUUAUGAUAAAUCUAGAUCUACAACUAGGUAACAAGAAGACAUAUCAUCAAGGUUAAAACGAAAACAUUGCACAAUACCACCAAAAAUACAAUAAAGUUACAUAAGAAACCCUAACGAUUGUUUCUACGAAUGCAGAUCUGCAUCACAAACAAACGCCAACAUAUUAUAAAAACGGACAAUUCAAUAACAACAUCCAAGUUCUUG